ACAAAACUGUGUUGGUAAACAAGCGCGAGAACGGUGCGAAAAGUCUAAGGUGGUGUAAAUAGCCACUGACUUUCUUAACAAGAACUUGAUUUAAUAUAUCUUGUUUAAAACAUAAAAUUCUCUUAUGACUAGCGAUUUCGAUUACACAUGGUAUACAGUCUAUCGAUAAACUCAAUUGAGUUGCUCUUUGUAAAUUGAAUCAGUAGAAUCUCUUAAAAUGGGUAAAGUUUUGAUGGCUUUCUACAGCCAAAACUAUUUCAAGGCUCAAUUGAACGCCGGAGUCCUGCGAUUCAGCAAGAAGUGCAGUCGCGGCAAAAUGGAUACACUUCACACAAGGAGCAACUCAAGUGCUACAGAACCAAAGUCAUAUGUCCAAAAACAGAGGACACCUGGGUGGUGGCUACGAGGAUGAAGAGGAUUCCCAUCGGAAUCCACACGUUUCCAGUGCGGACAAGGCCACAAAUAAGAUAAGAUGCGUCGCCAACUGCCGUCCCUUCAACAUUGUCAAAGAUGCAGGUCUUCAGAAAAUGGUCUGGGACUACAAACAGAAGCUUAAGCAGGCCCACUCCCGAUGUCCCGCAUUCGCCUGAAUGGUUAUACCAAAGAAUAAUUAUUCUAGUGUCUUUGGUUAUACCAUACAAAUGCCAUAUAGGUCAUACAAAUGUCUUAUAAAGAUAGGUUUGACGUACUGGAGUAUGUCACUCCAAUCGGGAAUAUUUCACGCUCCUCCACAGGACUAGCUGCCAUAUCCUGUUAAUUCCAGCCAUGGCAUGUGCCGGGAACCACGUUUGUUCUUUCGCAGACCAGAGGCCUGGCCAGUAAUCCCGCCUGAGGAGGGGAUGAGCUGCACCGAAUGAUGUUUCUUAAAACCAAUACCAAAUUGUAGGCUUUCCUAGUAACGUUAUUGCCUUUAGUGUUAAUUCAAAACUAUUAACUAUCGAUACACAAUAAAGUUCGAAAUAAUUAAAAUUUUGAAUAAAUAAAACAAUACGAA